GGUUUGAUCCUGGCUCAGAUUGAACGCUGGCGGGAUGCUUUACACAUGCAAUGAACGUACAGUAUCGACUUUCGGGUUUGCGGCGAGUGGCGAACGGGUGAGUAAUGUAUCGGAACGUGCCUAGUAGCGGGGGAUAACUACGCGAAAGCGUAGCUAAUACCGCAUACGCCCUUCGGGGGAAAGCGGGGGACCUUCGGGCCUCGCACUAUUAGAGCGGCCGAUAUCAGAUUAGCUAGUUGCGGGGUAACGGCUCACCAAGGGCGAUGAUCCGGUUAUUCGAGAGACCAGCGCCACACCGGAACGAGACACGGCCCAGACUCCUACGGAGGCAGCAGCGGGGAAUUUGAUAAUGGGGGGAAACCCUGAUCCAGCCAUCCUGCGUGUGCGAUGAAGGCCUUCACAGCUGUAAAGCACUUUGGCAGGAAAGAAAACGGUAUCGGAUAAUACCCUGUGCAACUGACGGUACCUGCAGAAUAAGCACCGGCUAACUACUACCAAAAGCCAGCAGCCGCGGUAAUGUAGGUGCAAGCGUUAAUCGGAAUUAACGUAAAAGCGUGCGCAGGUGGUUCGGAAAGAAAGAUGGGAAACUUAUUUAACUUCUUGAACUGUAUUUUUAACUACCGAGCGAGUGUGUCAGAGGGAAAGGAAUUCCGCGUAGCAGGAAACGCGUAGAUAUGCGGAGGAACACCGAUGGCGAAGGGCAACCUCCGGAUAACACUGAUUGCCCAUGCACGAAAGCGUGGGGAGCAAACAGAUUAGAUACUCCUGGUAGUCCCCACUAAACGAUGUCAACUAGCUGUUGUAAACUUUGGGCCGGGGCAGCAGCCAACGCGUGAAGUUGACCGGCUUGGGAGUACGGUCGCAAGAUUAAACUCAAAGGAAUUGGACGGGGACCCGCACAAGCAACAUGAUGAUUAACGGUGCAACGCGAAAAAUCUUACCUACCUCAAGAUACGUCUGGAAUCCCGGCAUUUCGGGAGUGCCGCUGCAAGAGAACCGGAACACAGGUGCUGCAUGGUCGCCGCCAGUGCUCAAAUGGAGAUGUUAAGCAAGUCCUGCAACGAGCGCAACCUCGGUCAUUGAAGCAGCGCUAGAAAGGGCACUCUAAUGAUCAAGCGGUGACAAACCGGAGGAAGGGAUGACGUCAAGUCCUGCGGUCAGCAGGGCUUCACACGUCAUACAAUGGUCGGGACAGAGGGUCGCCAACCCGCGAGGGAGCUAAUCCCAGAAACCCGAUCGUAGUCCGGAUCGCAGUCUGCAACUCGACUGCGUGAAGUCGGAAUCGCUAGCAAUCGCGGAUCAGCAUGUCGCGGUGUGAACAUGUCCGGGUCUUGUACACACUGCCCGUCACACCAAGUGGAGUGUUCUACUAGAAGUAAUAGUCAACCGUAAGGAGGGCGAUUACUUGCUUUGGUAGGGAGCCCAUGACCGGGUGAAGUCGUAACAAGGUAACUUGUUGAUACCUGAUGUCUA
rnacentral:rRNA from 1 species